CCGACCGGCGCACGGGUGAGUAACACGUAUGCAAUCCACCUGUAACAGGGGGAUAACCCGGAGAAAUCCGGACUAAUACCCCAUAAUAUGGGCUCUCCGCAUGGAGGGUCCAUUAAAGAGAGCAAUUUUGGUUAUAGACGAGCAUGCGCUCCAUUAGCCAGUUGGCGGGGUAACGGCCCACCAAAGCGACGAUGGAUAGGGGUUCUGAGAGGAAGGUCCCCCACAUUGGAACUGAGACACGGUCCAA
rnacentral:rRNA from 1 species